CUUCCCUCCCAACCCUACAUACUUCUUCAUAUGCCCAUAGGGAGUCAGCUGGCGUUAUGGAAUGUUAAGAAGUAUGUAUCUUUGGGCUGGGGU
ensembl:miRNA